AGAAAUUUAACCAGAACUGUUUGAUUUGAAAGAGAGAAAGAAACAACAGAGUCCUCUUAUCUGCAAGUUCUUUAGGUUUCAUUAACUCCUGAUGCAACAUACAGGUGGCACACCCUGGUAUUAUUAGCAAUCCAGCAAAAAUACAACGCACAUAGUCAGCAAGAUGGCCAGUAGAGAAGACAAAGUGGUUCUCUUUGAAUCGAACGUAUCAAGAGACAGAGUAAGAGUAUAUGCCAAUAUUAUUCCAUGAAACGAACAGUUUAACCAAUGA
rnacentral:lncRNA from 1 species